GUUGAACAUAAAUGUGCCGCGCAUCCGCCGCGAGCCCGGCAUGACCAUCUGCUGGGGAGGUGGUGGUGAACGAAAACCAUCACUUAUCCUCUGAGAAAUGGUAAAGACACGACAGAUCAAUCAUGCAGACAGUGGUGUUCACGCUGGGGGCAGGUACUCCGUGGUGGAAGAAGUGCUGUUAGGACACUACUGCAAAGAUCCAGGCAAGAGAAGUUUCAUGUGGAAGGAUGAAGGACAGAAAACAGCAAAACACUUCUCAAGAGGUCGGGGAGUGAAGAAGGACUUGGCUCAUCACCAAUAUCUGAAUGUUUGCAUAUGCAUUUAAACCCACAUAUGAUUAUCUGAGGAUUAAUAAAAGUAUGAAGUACGAAAAAUAUAAAAGAAC
ensembl:lncRNA